rnacentral:lncRNA from 1 species
CUGAUUUGGUUUGUUCCAGAGUUUUCUGUAGGUAGAGCGUCUAGAGCCGACACGCAGCAUCACAGCCGAGUGAAGAUGGCGGCUCAGAGAGUGAUGCUGUCAACGAGAGUUUGAGUUCACCUCUCAUUUUUAAACUUCUUAAACCUUUGAGGAUCCCUUACGGAUAGCUGUGUCAAAGAAAACUAUAUCGGUCGCUGCUCCUGACCAUUUAACAAUGGAAACUCAUGUUCUUCCAGAGCCUCUUCAUUUCACAGCCCACACUGCACUUCUGUCAUUGUGAGAAAUUCAGUCUCAGCUCCGCUGGAGAAGCAGAGAUACUCCUAUUACUGGCCUUUAUGAAGGAGAGCAGUUCAACAACAAUCAGCUUUGUACCACUUAAGAGGCAGGAUGCUGAUUUGUUACCACUGGCGUGCUCAGACUGGCUUCUGGAGGUCUAA